ACGAGUGGCGAACGGGUGAGUAACACGUGAGUAACCUGCCCUCAUCUCUGGGAUAACAGUCGGAAACGGUUGCUAAUACUGGAUAUGAGCUUGCAAGGCAUCUUGUGGGUUGGAAAGAUAUUUUGGUUGGGGAUGGACUCGCGGCCUAUCAGCUUGUUGGUGAGGUAGUGGCUCACCAAGGCUUCGACGGGUAGCCGGCCUGAGAGGGCGACCGGCCACAUUGGGACUGAGAUACGGCCCAA
rnacentral:rRNA from 1 species